GGGGUCCCAGUCCAGGCAGGACUCGGCCCGGGCGGUGCCUGUGUCCAGCUCCCCGGUGCUGGGCUGGGCUGAAAUGCAGCAGAAGAGGCCUGGGAGUGGGUCGUAGUCCCACCUACCGUAGCCGAGGUCAUGUGACUGUGGGGGU
ensembl:miRNA